AAGUCGUAACAAGGUUUCCGUAGGUGAACCUGCGGAAGGAUCAUUCACACUAACUUUAAAAACAGUUAUGUUAAGUGUACUAGUAAAAUAGUAUAUUUAGCAUACUGCCAGCGUUGUACUAGUGAACCAAAACAAUUAAAUUAUAUUAACGUAGGUUUUCGUAUCUCGUUCAUAUGAUGUGUAAUAGCAUGAUAUGGGCUCGUAGUAUUGUAGCUUGGUUAAUCGUUUAAUUGUAUACUUAUAUAUUAAUGGUUGUAGCGUGAUAUAAUACAUGUGGUAAUUGAAAUAUUGAAUUAAAACACAAUUUAUAUAUUGUACAACUCUUUGCAAUGGAUAUCUUGGUUCUC
rnacentral:misc_RNA from 1 species